GGCCGCGUGGCCUAAUGGCUAAGGCGCUAGAUUUCGGUCUUCAUCAUCUCUAGAGAUUCCAGGUUCGACUCCUGGCGUGGUCG
rfam:Trichoderma gamsii strain T6085 Scaffolds0028.1, whole genome shotgun sequence.